rnacentral:rRNA from 1 species
CCCUUAGACGUUCUGGGCCGCACGCGCGCUACACUGACCAGUGCAACAAGCAUCCGUCCUUGGCCGACAGGCUCGGGCGAUCUUUGAACGCUGGUCGUGAUGGGGAUAGACUUUUGCAAUUUUUGGUCUUCAACGAGGAAUUCCUAGUAAACGCAAGUCAUCAACUUGCAUUGAUUACGUCCCUGCCCUUUGUACACACCGCCCGUCGCACCUACCGAUUGAAUGGUCCGGUGAAGCCUCCGGAUUGGCGCGCACCUCGGUGCCGCCGAGAAGUUGGCUAAACCUUACCAUUUAGAGGAAGGUGAAGUCGUAACA